AUGCUUCGACAAAUCGCGUUUGGUGGCGAUGGCGGAGGGGUUCCACACGUACCCAUCCCGAACACGACCGUUAAGCCCUCUAGCGCCGAUGGUACUUGGACCGCAGGGUCCUGGGAGAGUAGGACGCCGCCAAGC
rnacentral:rRNA from 1 species